CAGAUUUUUCUUGCCAAAAUGGCAGUAUGGGCAUCAUGGGUGUAUCAAGGAAUUUCGUGGCCCAAAGUAAUUAUAGAUCCAGAUUUAUUAUUACAAAAAUAAUAAUGAAAAGAAAUUAAUUAAUAAAAGAAAAGGAUAAAUAAAAUUGGGAAGUUAGGGUUACUCUGUUGCGUCGUAUCAAAUCCUCUGAACUUCUUCCCCUUCACUCGCGAGCGGCGGCACGGUGAGCUUCGCUCUCCUCUCCGAUCGAAAAAUUACAGCACCGCCGUGAACCUCCUUGCUUCGAUCAUCACCUCUUCGUCUCUCAAUCCAACUCUCCAUCUCAGAUCCGUUACAUCUCGCCCCCGAUAAGCAAAAGGCUCAAUGAAGAUGGCAAGAAAUCCAGAGGCAAUACUUUGCUUCUUCUUCCUCUUUUACAUUCCGUAGAUCGUGACGUGUGUUGAUGAUAUUGUUUGUAUAUGAUUCGGCCAAAGUGAUGCUCGAAGCUAUCGCAAUGAAUGUUGAAGUUGUAAAUCGAAGAUGAUGAUGAUGAUGCAGAAGUGUUGUAGUGAUAAGGAUAUCGAUUCAAAGAAGCCAAAGGUUCACGGUUGAAUCUCGAUGCGGGGUUGAUGAUCCGGUUGCGAACAAAUGAAGACGAUUGGCGAACUGUGAUGCUUCUACGGAGUGAUUGAUGAAGAAUUUCGAUGAAGAUUCCGCAGUGAGUUUUCUUGUUACAAUCUUUUCCUUCCUAUAUUUCUCUGUCAAUCUCCUCUUUUCCGUUGAAUUUUGUUACGCUCCUUGUUGUGAUACAAAUGAAUCAAAUCACGGCUAAGAGGUGUCGAAGAUUGGAGAAUAUUGAAGAUUGAGAGGGGGAAGAAUUGAAGAUUUCUGAACUGUUAUUGAAUAGUUAUGGAGAGUGGAGAGGAAGAUUGAAGAUGGCUGAAGCUUGAGGAUUGAAUUGAAGAAGGUGAAGGAGAUGGAUGAAGUUGCAGAGAGUGAAGUGAAGAUGAUGUGGAGGUGGAGAUGAAUGGGGAAGAGCAAAAAUGGUGAAGGGAGAGUGAAAGUGAAGAGAGAGUUGAACUUUGAUGAAUGAUGAAGAUGGAAAUGGUGUGAAGUGGAGAGAGCUUGAAGAAUGAAUUGAAGAAGACCCUGAACAAUGGUGAAGCCCCUGUUAUAUAGAGUUGAAGGGUUGUUUUCGAUCUAGAACUGUGUAGCGGAUUCAUGUUGGUUAAAUCCGUUGUUUGAAUAGAGUAUUAGGUUGUAAGUCCAACUCCAAUCAUCAGGAGCGUCCCUCCGAGAACCAUGGUUUAGGCAGCACCUCAGAAGCCGCUACUGAAUUCAAAGGUUGACAGUCAAGAUCCAACUCUUAUGGCAAAGCGAAUUCUGAAUCACCAUUGAAUGUCUCAUAAAGGCCUUUGUGUAGCGUCCUCGAAAUAGAAUGAAUGCUCUAGCAUAUGUGUAUGCUGGUUUGAACUUGACAGUAUUUUGUUUAUAAUCUUGUUGAAGGAUCUUGACUUGAAGUGUGGAAUGGCUGCCAUCCUUUUUCUAUGCAGGGACCUAUUGUAUUGGUUGAAUGGUUUGAAGCUUUGAAGCAAACACACCAUUGAUGAAAGCUUAAAAUUAGGACAGUAGGCUAAGAGCAAAUUUUGUGGUUUGUCUUGUUGUAAAUGUAAUGUAAUGUAGUGUAAUGGUGUAUUUGGUACUGUACUGAUGUGAUGAUGAUGGCCUUGUAAUAACAUAACUCUUUUUUCAAAUAAAUGAAAUUAGAAUCCUUUCUUCC